rnacentral:rRNA from 1 species
UACGAAGGGGGCUAGCGUUGCCCGGAAUCACUGGGCGUAAAGGGUGCGUAGGCGGGUCUUUAAGUCAGGGGUGAAAUCCUGGAGCUCAACUCCAGAACUGCCUUUGAUACUGAGGAUCUUGAGUUCGGGAGAGGUGAGUGGAACUGCGAGUGUAGAGGUGAAAUUCGUAGAUAUUCGCAAGAACACCAGUGGCGAAGGCGGCUCACUGGACCGGUUCUGACGCUGAGGCGCGAAAGCGUGGGGAGCAAACGGG